UACGUAGGCAGCAAGCGUUGUUCGGAGUUACUGGGCGUAAAGGGUGCGUAGGCGGUCCUAUAAGUAUGGUGUGAAAUCUCCCGGCUUAACUGGGAGGGUGCGCUAUAGACUGUGGGACUAGAGUGUGGGAGAGGAAAGUGGAAUUCCUGGUGUAGCGGUGAAAUGCGUAGAUAUCAGGAGGAACACCGGUGGUGUAAAUGGCUUUCUGGACCAUAACUGACGCUGAGGCACGAAAGCGUGGGUAGCAAACAGG
rnacentral:rRNA from 1 species